rnacentral:rRNA from 1 species
UGAGCAAUCUGCCCUUCUCUUUAGAAUAAGCGUUGGAAACGACGUCUAAUGCCGAAUACGACCUCCUUUCGCAUGAUCGGAGGUGGAAAGCUCCGGCGGAGAAGGAUGAGCUCGCGGCCUAUCAGCUAGUUGGUGGGGUGAUGGCCUACCAAGGCGACGACGGGUAGCCGGCCUGAGAGGGCGACCGGCCACACUGGGACUGAGACACGGCCCAGACUCCGUACGGGGAGGNAGCG